rfam:Bombyx mori DNA, contig: Bm_scaf27_contig17656, strain: p50T/Dazao, build 2, whole genome shotgun sequence.
GCCUCCGUGGCGCAGUAAGUUAGCACGUUCGCCUGUUAACCGAAGGGUUGGUGGUUCGAGUCCACCCGGGGGCG